CAAAAAUUAACACUAAUAUGUUCGACGUUAAAAAAAUUUUCAAUAGAUGAUUCACACGUUGUUGUUCCACACGUUUCGUUCUAAUAUGAACGCGCAUCGAGUCAGGGAAAUUAAUUCUGCUUCGUAGAAGGAUACUAAGUGUCUACCUGUUGCACCACGCUGUCAGACGAAGUGGUCUCGAUCGUUUUUCGAGAAUCGCGAAAGUGAAGGGAGAAAUAGGCAGAAAGAUAGAGAAAGAAAAGGAAAGGAGAGAAGAAAGAGAGAGAGAGAGAGAGAGAGAGCACUUGGCGAAUGAAAAAUUUUACGCGUCUACGCGUAGGAAGAAACCUACUGGUACGUCGCUGCCUUCGCAACUUGUUGCUGGUCGCUCAGAGAUCUCUCCACUUCUCGAUUUCCGGUGACGCCUCUUGCACACAGGUGCUGUGGGAAGAGAAUUUUCAUGGUAUCCGAUUCUUAGAUGAUUGACCGUUUAAUAUUGUGAUAAUUUUGUGAACGACAGAAACUUACCUGUGGACACCACUUACGCAAUUAUGAUUUGUGCAAAAUGAAAUCAACAUCAUGGAAUAUUAACACGAACUUUUACGUGUCUAAAUCAUUAUGGAUGUCGUCAAUUUGGAUUACGUUCCACAUCGGGUGAGUUACAGUUCCAUAUUAAACGAUUUAAUUAAUAUUUAUACCAUGCUUUAUACUGUGUUCAUUUUAUUAUUGCAAACAGUGAACACUGGAAUAA